UGAGGUGUGGAUAGGGGAGAAAUUCCAAUCGAACCCGGAGAUAGCUGGUUCUCCUCGAAAUAGCUUUAGGGCUAGCCUCGAUACAGAUUUGCGGAGGUAGAGCACUGAAUUUCCUAGGGGGCGUCAAAGCCUACCGAAGAAUAUCAAACUCCGAAUGCCGCGUAAUCGAUUAUCGGGAGUCAGACUGCACGAGAUAAGUUGGGCGGUCAAAAGGGAAAGAGCCCAGACCUUCAGUUAAGGUCCCAAAGUGCGCGUUAAGUGGAAAAGGAUGUGGGAUUUCGAAGACAACCAGGAUGUUGGCUCAGAAGCAGCCAUCCAUUCAAAGAGUGCGUAAUAGCUCACUGGUCGAGAGGUCCUGCGCCGAAAAUGUCCGGGGCUGAAACGCGCCACCGAAACUAAGGAACCGAAAGGUUGGUAGAGGAGCAUUGCAUGCGGGAAGAAGCAGUACCGAAAGGAGCUGUGGACUGCAUGGAAGAGAGAAUGCCGGAAUGAGUAGCGAGAUAGAGGUGGGAAUCCUCUAGGCCGAAUAUCCAAGGUUUCCAGAGUAAAGCUGAUCUGCUCUGGGUAAGUCGGGGCCUAAGGCGAGGACGAGAGUCGUAGCCGAUGGACAACAGGUGGAGAUUCCUGUACUGCGGUAUGACAGAACUGUGGGGACACGUAAGGAAAGCGGAAGCCGGGAAUGGAAAGCCCGGUGCAAGCGGGGUACCAGUCACUUUGGCAAAUCCGGGUGGCAAUGGGAAGCCGUGAUGCGGAGCGAAAUAAAGUAGUGAAGUCCGUGAGCCAUGCGUCAAGAAAAGCCGCUAUCGUUUAUACCGUACCCGUACCGUAAACCGACACAGGUGGAUGAGGAGAGAAUCCUAAGGCCGGCGGAAGAAGCAUUGUCAAGGAACUCGGCAAAAUGGCCCCGUAACUUAGGGAUAAGGGGUGCCUGGGAAACCAGGCCGCAGAGAAUAGGCUCAAGCAACUGUUUAGCAAAAACACAGGUCUAUGCGAAACCGAAAGGUGAGGUAUAUGGGCUGACGCCUGCCCGGUGCUGGAAGGUUAAGAGGAGAGGUUAGCGCAAGCGAAGCUUUGAAUUUAAGCCCCAGUAAACGGCGGCCGUAACUAUAACGGUCCUAAGGUAGCGAAAUUCCUUGUCGGGUAAGUUCCGACCCGCACGAAAGGCGUAAUGAUUUGAGCGCUGUCUCGACAAUGCAUCCGGUGAAAUUGAAGUACCAGUGAAGAUGCUGGUUACCUGCGCCAGGACGGAAAGACCCCAUGGAGCUUUACUCCAGUCUGGUACUGGGACUCGGUAUUGCAUGUACAGGAUAGGUGGGAGGCUAGGAGAUGGUAACGCCAGUUGCCAUGGAGCCGCUGUUGGGAUACCACCCUUGCAGUAUUGGGUUUCUAACCAGCCGCCGUGACCCGGCGGUGGGACAAUGCCAGACGGGGAGUUUGACUGGGGCGGUCGCCUCCGAAAGGGUAUCGGAGGCGCCCAAAGGUUCCCUCAGAAUGGACGGAAACCAUUCGAAGAGUGCAAAGGCAGAAGGGAGCUUGACUGCGACACCGACGGGUGGAGCAGGUACGAAAGUAGGACUUAGUGAUCCGGUGGUAUGAAAGUGGGAUUGCCAUCGCUCAACGGAUAAAAGCUACCCUGGGGAUAACAGGCUUAUCACUCCCAAGAGUUCACAUCGACGGAGUGGUUUGGCACCUCGAUGUCGGCUCAUCGCAUCCUGGGGCUGUAGUAGGUCCCAAGGGUUGGGCUGUUCGCCCAUUAAAGCGGUACGCGAGCUGGGUUCAGAACGUCGUGAGACAGUUCGGUCCCUAUCCGGCGUGGGCGUAGGAUAUCUGAGAGGAGCUGUCCUUAGUACGAGAGGACCGGGAUGGACGGGCCGCUGGUGCAUCGGUUAGACUGCCAAGUCUACGGCCGAGUAGCCAAGCCCGGAAGGGAUAAACGCUGAAGGCAUCUAAGCGUGAAGCCCCCCUUAAGAUGAGAUAUCCCAUUCGUUAAGAAGUAAACCCCCUUGAAGACGACGAGGUAGAUAGGGCAGAGGUGGAAGUGUGGCAACACAUGGAGCUGACUGUUACUAAUCGGGUGAGGGCUUGACCAA
rnacentral:rRNA from 1 species